rnacentral:ncRNA from 2 species
CACCCAUGACAGGGGAGCGCCGUCGAAGGGGCGCUGAGAGUGCGGGCACAGCCGCAGACCCUUGGAACCUGCUCCGGUUAGCACCGGCGAAGGGAGUUACCUGGAAUGUCCG